ACCGGACGACUGUCACACCGUCAAACAGUCGGGAAACGGAUAUGAAGUCUGUCCACCGCGUUCGGUAAGAGAGAGGGUCGACAAAACAUUUUUGUCGUGUUGAUAACUUAGCGCUUCGACUCUAUUCAUUAGCUUUUGGUCGUAUUUGUUCCCGCUUCCCCUGAAUUGUUUUAACAGUAUUCUGGGGUGCAAUGGACGACAGCAACGCAGUGAAGCUCUUUGUUGGGAAUCUGGAUUUGGAAACCACACAAGAUGACCUAAUAGCACUUUUUGCCCCUUAUGGAGAAGUGGUGCACUUAACUGUACUGAGGCAGUUUGCCUUUGUCCAUCUGCAGGGAGAAGGGGCUGCUGACCGUGCCAUCCGUGAUCUGAAUGGUCGAGAGUACCGUGGCCGGAGCCUUGUAGUUGAGGAAUCCAAAGGGAGGCCCCUCAAUUCCACCAAAGUAUUUGUGGGGAACCUGUGUGCUUCUUGUUCAGUUGAAGACCUGUAUGAGCUCUUCUCGGCAUACGGCAAAGUUCUUGAUUGUGACAAAGUAAAGACAAAGCUCUCCUCUUUAACAGGCUACGCCUUUGUGCACAUGGAGCGCAAAGAGGAUGCAGAUCAAGCCAUUGAGGGUCUUCACGGGACCUCAUUUAUGGGACGUCCGCUCGCAGUGGAGCUCUCGAAGGUACAGCAGACCACAAAUAAGGUCCCUUGUGCCAGCUGUGGUGCGCAUGGCCACUUUGCAGGAGAAUGCCCAAUCAACAGGCCUCCCAUGGAGCACCACCAGAGUCAGGCUGCUGUCUUAGCUGCAGCUGCUGCCGCCGCUGCUGGGCUUCCUCUUCAGGUGCAGCAGAGUGUCCACAACUCUUUCUACAACACUGCGAGCACUGACCCGACAUUUGCAGCUCUGAAAGACUUGACCACUUCCAGGGUUGAUGGCAAACCUGUCAGUGCCGCGGUCUACGGGGCCUUGGCAAGUCAAGUCUACAGUGCUGUCGCAGACCAGAUGUUCAGCUCGACGACAAGCCAGGCUAGGAAUGGCUACCCCACUGAAGGAGAAGCUCCUCCGGGCGCUACCGCAAUUAACCCUGCCUACGGAGCAAAUUCCUCUCUGUACGGUGCCAGUCCAGCUUAUGGGACCAUGGGAGGCACAGAGCCUGACCCCCAAGCAAUGUUUGAAGCCGCUCGGGCCCGAUUCUUUGAGCAGGGACAACAAGUUCUGGCCGAACAGCAGGCUGUGACCAAAUCCGACCGAGACCGAAGUCCAAUACGGCGCUCGGCCCCAUUACUGCCUGACCCGGUUCCCCAGCCGUUCUCCCAGACACGACCCAAACGACGGGCCCUGCUCCCAACACCACCUGGUGGUCCAGAAUUACCUGCAGUUAAAAAUGGAGACCCAAUUGCAAGGUGCUAUGCAGAGUACUACCAACAGUACCAGCAGUUCCAACAGUACCAACAAUACCAGCAGUACCAACAUUACCAGCAGUACCAGUACAGCUAUCCGCCGCCUCCACCGCCACCUCCUCCGAUGCCUAUGGUGCCUCCAGGCCCAAUGGAUCCGCAACAGAUGGCCGCCCCUGGCACCACAGCUUCACCAAGAGUGUAUGAGCCAACUUCAGCACACAAGGAGCCCCUCCUACGCCAUCCUGAUUACUCUCACCAACACACAUCUGAGUCCCCAUAUCGAUAGCCCCCAUUACAUGAGUGUGUGCACACGUGUAUGGCUGUGAAAAUGUGUGCGUGCGUCAGUUUUGGUCCUACAUGACAAAAUAAACUGGAGGAAAGGGAUAAAUUGAAUUUUUAUUUUAGUUUCGCAGUUAUCUUUCCCCCGCAUAAUGUCAAAUAUGUCAUUAUGUACAGAAUGUAGAAGUUUACAAGGCCAUUUUGAUUCUGAGCCCCUCUCGUUUUUUUCCCCCCUUAUUUUUUCGAAGUGCUCAGAAUUACAUUAGCUGUCAGUUUUAUAGAUAAAAUACCCUUUGACCAUUGUGUUGGGUCAAACAUUCUCUGAAGUCAAAAGACUGCCUUGUAAAAAUAACCUUUUUUUUUUUUUUGUACAGACUUUUGUAAAACCAAGUACGUCAGCUAAGGUACAGUUUUAUUAAAUUCAUGGUUUAGCAAAGGAGCAAGUCUCAGUCGAAUAUCUUAAUCCAAAUUGUUGUCAGUAUAUUGUAUUUGGCUUAGACUGAUGUUAAAUUUCACACCGACUAGGAAGACAGCAUAGUUUAGAUAGAAUAUAAAGAGGACCUGUGUGAAGUCUGUGUGUGUGAGUGAGUGAGAACACAAUGUUAACAGUUUGGCUGAGCCCUUAGCUUACAUGAGCACCACAAUCACAUGCACAUCAUACUUAUUUUGUAUAGUCCUAUUUGAGUAAGGGUGGUGCAUAUGGAUAUAUUUAGGUAAAUCCGUACCAAACAAAUACACAUCUGUACUUAAACGCUCUAACCACUGCCUCACUAGUGCAGAUGGUUACGCCUGCCCAGUUCGACUACAAUAAAACUGAAAUUAAAAUCGCCUGUCGCGAAAGAGGUAAGGACAGAUUAACUGCAAAAGGGACACCUUUAAUUUGUCGCUCGAUAGGCAUAUUAAUGUUCUAAAUGUUUUCCAUUUGGAUACCUAUAUUGACUCUGAAUGAGUUCGGGAUGUCGUUGUUGCUAAAUAGCAAACAGAACUGGUUCUAUAGCCUGCCAGUAGCAAUUAUGCAUGUUUUGCAGGAUUUAAAGAGCAAACGACUGCCAUCUCUGGCCUUGCAUCGUUCUCUUACAUGGACAGAAUACUUGGGAGUAUUGACUUACUAGUACGGGUGGUAACCCCUCAAAUGUCUUUAAAAGAGAAUGAGGUUUUUACGUUCUUGUUUCCUUUGAAAGUAGCCCCAUGCAAUUACUAUUAUGUUUCUCUGACCAUUUAUUUUGUUCACAUUAUUAUAGUCUCUUUAUUAUUCGAGUCAUGUGAAGUUAUUUCAGGGGCUUUGGGGUGGAAACAGUUAUUUAGAGGGGAGGAGGAGGGGGGGAGGGUGAUAAACUUGUUCAGGCCUGACAUAUAGUUAGUUAAGGCAAUUGGUUAAACGAGUGAAAAAACAGUGAAGUGCUUCAUACAAUUGUAUUUUUGUUCUUAAGGAAAAAAAUGUGCUGUCCCAGUUUGAGCAUUUUAGGCAAUUCAAUUAAACAUACAUGUUAUAACAUUAUAAACUGAAAGUGUGUGAAUAAUUCAUCCAGGUUAAAGUCCAUGUAACUAGUACCAGAAGUUUCAAACUUUUGUAAAGUAUGAAGGGAAUCUACUCAAAUUCAUACUAUCGGCAAUAUAUUUUUUGCUAAAAUUUCAGUGAUACAGAUGUUAUGACAGUUGAGUAGCUUCCCUUCAGACACAAUAAAAGUGAAUAAUGAUUGAAAUUGGAAGGUAUGAUAAAAAGAAUGGUUUGUUUAAUCAUGUUAUGUAUGUCCUCUUUUCCUAGAAUGCCCCUCAGGCAGUCUUCAGUCUUUCAUUCCAAAGAAAUAUGGUGGGGUACACACACAAAUCUCACUUAGCACACACAACCCAUAAUCUCACCACUCUACAUUCAACUUCUUCUCUUUGAUUACACUUCACAGGCAAAAAACCACUGUAGUGUUAAUGUUCUCAAUUUGAUGUAUGAUAGAAUGUAGAUGGAAAGGUGGUGGCGGUGUAGCUUUUUGCAGCACACCAGGACUCCACACAAAUUAUUCUACACAGUAAAUUGUCUGUUUUGUUUAUUAUAAAUAGUGUAUGUCUCUUGUUAUUAUUACUGCUGUUCCAGCCACAUUUUCCCUUUUCGCUAACUACAGCUAAAAUGGCUCCCGGCCUCAGGACGCCAAGUUGAGCAUGACGGGGGAAGAGAAUUAGCGCCCCACAAUGCCUCGGACGUGCUCCCCACUAAGUCUUUUUGAAGCACUUCCAGUUGGCGAGAUGAGGCGCUCCAACUGUUUGUGAAUACUUAAGAAGGGUGCAGAGCUGUCCAAAAGUAGGGCAAUGAUCUCGUAGGUGCUUUGAAAAGCUGGGCAGUGGAGCAUUAUUUGUGGAUAAACUAUGAUUGUAGAUAAUCCAGAACUGAAAUAUUCAGUGAUUCAGGGAAGUUCAAGUAUCAUUGAUCAUUUUUUUCUAGGUCUGAAUGGGCAACUUUCAUUGUGGUCUAUGUAAUUGUCUUAAUGUCUGAAUCUGAAUCCUAACGUUUUUUAUUUGCAAACUGGCUUUAGUGCCAUGAUCUUUGUAUUUUCUUCUUGUAAAGUUCAAUAAAUGAUGCUUAAAGCGUA